GACGAACGCUGGCGGCGCGCCUAACACAUGCAAGUCGAACGGAGCUGAGAGAUGCUUGCUUUUCUUAGCUUAGUGGCGAACGGGUGAGUAACGCGUGAGUAACCUGCCCUGGAGUGGGGGACAACAGUUGGAAACGACUGCUAAUACCGCAUAAGCCCACGAUCCGGCAUCGGAUUGAGGGAAAAGGAUUUAUUCGCUUCAGGAUGGACUCGCGUCCAAUUAGCUAGUUGGUGAGGUAACGGCCCACCAAGGCGACGAUUGGUAGCCGGACUGAGAGGUUGAACGGCCACAUUGGGACUGAGACACGGCCCAGACUCCUACGGGAGGCAGCAGUGGGGGAUAUUGCACAAUGGGGGAAACCCUGAUGCAGCGACGCCGCGUGGAGGAAGAAGGUUUUCGGAUUGUAAACUCCUGUCGUUAGGGACGAUAAUGACGGUACCUAACAAGAAAGCACCGGCUAACUACGU
rnacentral:rRNA from 1 species